CCUUCAAUCCAUACUCCAUACACAAGUCCAGAAGACGAGUGAUUGUGAUGGUGACAGUGAUUGUGACGGGUGGCAAAGGCAAAGCAAACCCGCCUUUGCUGCGAACCAGAAGAAGAUUUUGUCGUUAUUAUGAGAAGAAGAAGAAUUUGAAUCUUUUGGAGCCACAGAAAACACAGACCCACGUUCCCAGGCGAUCGGCGGGCUGAAGAAGACGAACGAUGACGAGGGUAGUGACCAUCGCAAACUUAUCAUCAAUUCCUUACUUUCCGAUAAAGCCAAAGCCGACAUCACCAUUAUUACCUCACUCUGAGUCUGCUGCUGUAUCAGUAUCUUCCAAGCACUUGAGGGCAAUCGAAUUCAUAUCAACAAGAAGAAUACGAAGAAGGAGAUGGAACCUUUCAUCGUCGGACAAUCAGGCGGCGGCGGCGGUCAUAGACCCAGCAACAAGCACAUCGUCGGCCGACGACAAGGACGAGUCAUCUUCUCCGUCGGCUUCGGAAGUGGUGAGGAAUUUCUACGCGGGUAUCAACGGCCACGAUCUUUCCUCCGUGGAGGACCUCAUCGCUCAUAACUGUGUGUACGAGGACCUUAUCUUUCCUCGACCGUUUGUAGGCCGCAAGGCAAUCCUAGAUUUUUUCCAGAAGUUCAUUGAUUCGAUCAGCACAGAUCUGCAGUUUGUAAUUGAUGACAUUUCUAAUGAGGAUGCAUCGGCUGUUGGAGUUAUGUGGCACUUGGAAUGGAAGGGAAAAUCUUUUCCUUUUAGUAAGGGAUGCAGCUUUUAUCGGUUGGAUGUGGUAAAUGGAAAGAGACAGAUAAUUUCUAGGUGUUAGUCCUUCCACAAUUGCAAUGCCUGUUAUGGUCGAGACAGUGUGGAACCUGCUGUCAAGCCAGGGGAGAUGGCUUUGGUUGCCAUCAGAGGCGUCACAUGGCUUCUGCAGCAGUUUCCGCAAUUGGCAGACCAGUUAUGAGUGAAACAUGUGUUUUAGCUGUCAAUAAAUGGUUUAUCAAUUUGUAGCUUCGUAUAUGGCAGUACACACUCACCCAUACAAUUGGAUGAAAAACAAGAUGUUAGAGAAAAGAAAUGGAAUAGUCAGUAUUUAGUUAAUGGAACAUAGCGUUUCUGGUAUAAGAUUGUUCCGACUGACCUGUUCCACUACUGAAUCUUAUUAUAGCACUCAGCCAUUUUAAUUUGCACCCUCUUUAUUCCAGCGAGUGCCCUUUGAAACUAAAGUAUUUUAUAUCAUGUAAUUGGUGAGUCUAUACCAUUGAAUAUUUGGAGCAUUAUUGAUGUAAUACUAUUUCUUACCCA